rnacentral:rRNA from 1 species
AACCUGGUUGAUCCUGCCAGUUGUCACAUGCUUGUCUCAAAGAUUAAGCCAUGCAUGUCUAAGUACACACUGUGGCACAGUGAAACCGCGAAUGGCUCAUUAAAUCAGUUAUGGUUUAUUAGAUCGUGCGUUCUUAUGUGGAUAACUGUGGUAAUUCUAGAGCUAAUACAUGCAACUGGCCCUAACUUUACGGAGGGGCGCUUUUAUUAGAUCAAAAUCAAUCAGACUUCGGUCUGUUAUUGUGAUGACUCUGGAUAACUUUAUGCCGACCGCAUGGCCUUGCGCCGGCGGCGUAUCUUUCAAAUGUCUGCCCUAUCAACUUUCGAUGGUAGGUGAUAUGCCUACCAUGGUUGUAACGGGUAACGGAGAAUCAGGGUUCGAUUCCGGAGAGGGAGCCUGAGAAACGGCUACCACAUCCAAGGAAGGCAGCAGGCGCGCAAAUUACCCACUCCCGGCACGGGGAGGUAGUGACGAAAAAUAACAAUGCUGGGCUUCAAGUCCGGUAAUUGGAAUGAGUACACUUUAAAUCCUUUAACGAGGAUCUAGUGGAGGGCAAGUCUGGUGCCAGCAGCCGCGGUAAUUCCAGCUCCACGAGCAUGUACGUAAGUUGUUGCAGUUAAAAAGCUCGUAGUUGGAUCUCAGGCUUGUGGCCGGUGGUCCGCUCGAUACGGGUGUGUACUGCCGUGCCCGGCCUACGUCUGGUUUAAAAGCUCAUAGUGCCCUUAACCGGGUGCUAUGAGAUGCCAGAAGUUUUACUCUGAAAAAAUUAGAGUGCUUAAAGCAGGCCGUUUGUGCUUGUAUACUGUUGCAUGGAAUAAUGGAAUAGGACCUCGGAUCUAUUUUGUUGGUUUUCGGAGUCGAGGUAAUGAUUAAGAGGGACAGACGGGGGCAUUCGUAUUGCGCCGUUAGAGGUGAAAUUCUUGGAUCGGCGCAAGACGAACAACUGCGAAAGCAUUUGCCAAGGAUGUUUUCAUUAAUCAAGAACGAAAGUCAGAGGUUCGAAGACGAUCAGAUACCGUCGUAGUUCUGACCAUAAACGAUGCCAACUGGCGAUCCGCCGUAGUCUGGCUUAAAGGACUCGGCGGGCAGCCUCCGGGAAACCUAAGUCUAUGGGUUCCGAGGGAAGUAUGGUUGCAAAGCUGAAACUUAAAGGAAUUGACGGAGGGCACCACCAGGAGUGGAGCCUGCGGCUUAAUUUGACUCAACACGGGAAAACUCACCCGGCCAGGACACCGUAAGGAUUGACAGACUGAGAGCUCUUUCUUGAUUCGGUGGGUGGUGGUGCAUGGCCGUUCUUAGUUGGUGGAGCGAUUCGUCUGGUUAAUUCCGAUAACGAACGAGACUCUAGCCUGCUAAAUAGACGGGCGAUCCCAUUGUGGGUCGACCCGAUUUGCUUCUUAGAGGGACAAGUGGCGUUCCUAGCCACGCGAAAUUGAGCAAUAACAGGUCUGUGAUGCCCUUAGAUGUCCGGGGCCGCACGCGCGCUACAAUGAGGGACGCAGUGUGCCCGCAAAGCCUGACCCGAAAGGGUUGGGUAAUCAUUUUAAUUUCUCUCGUAAUAGGGAUUGAGCAUUGUAACUAUUGCUCAUGAACGAGGAAUUCCUAGUAAGCGCGAGUCAUAAGCUUGCGUUGACUACGUCCCUGCCCUUUGUACACACCGCCCGUCGCUACUACCGAUUGAAUGGUUUAGCGAGAUCCUCGGAUUGGGCCUUACUUGUUCGCAAGAAUGGGUGAGGUCUGAGAAGAAGCUCAAGCUUGAUCAUUUAGAGGAAGUAAAAGUCGUAACAAGGUUUUCGUAGGUGAACCUGCAGAAGGAUCAA